CUAAAAAGGUGAUGAAUAGUUAUCUGUUCUAGCAAAUUCAUUAACAAGCCUUUAAAUGAAGCUGAAAUAUUUUUUUCACUGAAAGUACUAAAAGUGUGAA